GACGAACGCUGGCGGCGUGCUUAACACAUGCAAGUCGAACGAUGACGACCGAGCUUGCUCGGUCUGAUUAGUGGCGAACGGGUGAGUAACACGUGAGCAACCUGCCCUUCACUCUGGGAUAACCUCGGGAAAUCGGGGCUAAUACCGGAUAUGAGCUCCUGUCGCAUGGCGGGUGUUGGAAAGUUUUUCGGUGAAGGAUGGGCUCGCGGCCUAUCAGUUUGUUGGUGAGGUAGUGGCUCACCAAGGCGAUGACGGGUAGCCGGCCUGAGAGGGCGACCGGCCACACUGGGACUGAGACACGGCCCAGACUCCUACGGGAGGCAGCAGUGGGGAAUAUUGCACAAUGGGCGAAAGCCUGAUGCAGCGACGCCGCGUGGGGGAUGACGGCCUUCGGGUUGUAAACCUCUUUCAGCAGGGAAGAAGCGAAAGUGACGGUACCUGCAGAAGAAGCGCCGGCUAACUACGUG
rnacentral:rRNA from 1 species